UAGAGUUUGAUCAUGGCUCAGAGCGAACGCUGGCGGCAGGCUUAACACAUGCAAGUCGAGCGGGCCCUUCGGGGUCAGCGGCGGACGGGUGAGUAACGCGUGGGAACGUGCCUUCUGGUCUGGAAUAACCCUGGGAAACUAGGGCUAAUACCGGAUACGCCCUUUUGGGGAAAGGUUUACUGCCGGAAGAUCGGCCCGCGUCUGAUUAGCUAGUUGGUGGGGUAACGGCCUACCAAGGCGACGAUCAGUAGCUGGUCUGAGAGGAUGAUCAGCCACACUGGGACUGAGACACGGCCCAGACUCCUACGGGAGGCAGCAGUGGGGAAUAUUGGACAAUGGGCGCAAGCCUGAUCCAGCCAUGCCGCGUGAGUGAUGAAGGCCUUAGGGUUGUAAAGCUCUUUUAUCCGGGACGAUAAUGACGGUACCGGAGGAAUAAGCCCCGGCUAACUUCGUGCCAGCAGCCGCGGUAAUACGAAGGGGGCUAGCGUUGCUCGGGAUCACUGGGCGUAAAGGGCGCGUAGGCGGCGUUUUAAGUCGGGGGUGAAAGCCUGUGGCUCAACCACAGAAUGGCCUUCGAUACUGGGACGCUUGAGUAUGGUAGAGGUUGGUGGAACUGCGAGUGUAGAGGUG
rnacentral:rRNA from 1 species